UACGGAGGGUGCAAGCGUUAUUCGGAAUUAUUGGGCGUAAAGCGUGCGUAGGUGGCUUGUUAAGUCUGUUGUGAAAGCCCCGGGCUCAACCUGGGAAUGGCAAUGGAUACUGGCAGGCUAGAGUGCGGUAGAGGGUAGUGGAAUUCCCGGUGUAGCGGUGAAAUGCGUAGAGAUCGGGAGGAACACCAGUGGCGAAGGCGGCUACCUGGACCAGCACUGACACUGAGGCACGAAAGCGUGGGGAGCAAACAGG
rnacentral:rRNA from 1 species